CUGACCUUGAUUUGAACAUUUACAAUUGUGUAUCGUAGAUUUGUUUUGUAUGUUGAUCCGAGUUUCUGUUCUGUUUUAGAUGGUUGACACCAGGGUAAUUGAUCUAGCUUGCAUGUUUCAUUGGACUAAUCUUGUUUCUAAUAUAUAAACACACAAGCAUGUUUGUGGACUUUGGUCAUCAGACCAAACUUAGUGUAGAACUUCGAAUCUAAUUGAUCUAUUCUCUUUCGGGGAUGAGAAAUCCUUCUGCAGUAGCGAAUGCCACCAACAACUGAUGCUUCUGAAGGAGGGAAUGGAUAAAUAGGAACCUGAUGAUGAUUAUGGGACCUGUUCCUAGUCUUUGUAUGAUCAGUUCUCCAUAACAAAGACAAGGACAGUUCAUGAGUUUCCUGGAAAUUGAAACGCUUUUGGUGUAUAGAGCCGGUGCACCUAUCAAUCCUCUUAUUUUUUGUCUCACUGGGACUUUUUUCUAAAUAGAUAUUAUUUAAACAAUUAAUUAUUCUUGAAGAUUAAGAAAUAUAUAUAAUUGUUUGACUUUUUAUUUUUCUCUUUCGAAUGUGCACUUUGUAUCAAUUUAUUUUGUAAUUUUCUCUUGGGCAAUUGUGAAGGCUCUAUUUAGUAGA